UAUUAUCUUCAUCUUACAGCUGAGAUUCUGAGGUAUAGCAAUCAUCUCUAAACUGAUAGACCUCCUGACUCAAAUUGAGCUAACCCCAUGCACCUAUACAGGCUGGGGCCAAGCAGCUGGAAAGCAGCUUGGCAGAAAAGGCCCUGAGGGUCCUGGUGGGCAACAAAUUGACUGUGAGCCAGCAAUGUGCCCUUGCAGCAAAGACAACCAACAUCCUCUUGGGCUUCACUAGGCAGAGUGUUGCCAGCAGGUUGAGGGAGGGGAUCCUUCCCCUCUGCUCACCAUUGAUGAGACACAUCUGGAGCACUGGGUCCAGUUGUUGGCUCCCCAGAACGAGACAGACAUGGACAUACUGGAGCAAGUCCAGUGAAGGGCCACGAAAAUGAUUAAGGAAUUGGAGCAUCUGUCAUAUGAGGAGAGGCUGAGGUAUCUGUGACUGUUGAACCCGGAGAAGAGGAGGCUCAGGGUGAUCUUACCAAUGUGUAUAAAUACCUCAUGAGGGGGAGCAAAGAAGAUGGAGCCAGACUCUACUCGGUGGUGCUCAGUGACAGGACAAGCGGCAAUGGGUACGAAUUGAAAUACAGGAAACUCCACCUGAGCAUAAGAAUUAACGCUUGUUCACUGUGAGGGUGGUUGCAUACUGGAACAGGUUGCCCAGAGAGGCUGUGGAGUCUCCAUCCUUGGAGAUACUCAAAACUGACUGGACACUGUCCAGGACAAGCUGCUUGAGCCAGGGAUGUUGGACCAGAUGAUCUCCAGAGGUCUCUUCCAACUUCAGCCUUUCUGCGUCUCUGUGAUUGGCUCCUCUUUCCUCGGUCUCAUUAUUCAUUUUUCUUCUAUAGUUUACAUCUGGAGAAUAAGGUAACCCUUUUGAGCUUGUUUUCAUCCUUAAAUGGAGUGAAACUUGCCAAAGCAGUACAUUUUCCUAAAUUAAUUAAAAGAUUAUUAAUUGGGAAAUAUUAAAAUACAUCUGUCAGGAGCUUAGAAAAUUGCAUAAUGUGAAAGACUGGUAAAACUUGAUUAACAUGUGCUUUAUGGUUCUGUAUGGUAAUGGAAAACCUUGUUGAUAACAUUUUGAGCAACUAUAGAAAUCUAUCAGUCAGUGUCCCCCAACUCCUUUUUUCCUCUCAAAUGUUUAGAAACCUUUAAUACUGUUUGUCUAGCUCCAUCAGUAAUUAUAUCUAUCGUAUGUCAUUGAAUAGUUAUUCUAAUUUUUUUUUAGCAAUGUCGAGACAGUUUUAGUUUUUCUUCCAAGAAGUCAAAGAAAGCAGCACUACAGAACUCGUAAACUUUUGCAUAUAAAGAAAAUAUUUUUGAAUGUAAAACAUGUUUUUAUAUAUACAUAAUAUGUGUAAAAGAUACAGCAAAAAUUGACUUUUAACAUGUAAUCAUCUUUUAAUAAUUACCUUAAUGUUUAUUAUCUCCUCCAGAAUCUGGGCUAUAUAUAUUUCACAGGAAACACUACAGUAUUUUGUGAAAAGAUUUUGUGAAAGAUUUUCCUUUGCAGUGCCUCUUGGUUGGUAAAGCUGUGUUUUGAGAAGGCAUAUAUGUUUCUGGAUGAAAUUCAUUUGGUGAAUAUUUGCAUAUUAGUGGGUAUUCCAGUACGGGCUAAGGGAUCCACCUGUAGUCCAGGGCCUAUUGUAUAAGACACUGUGCAGGCAGAGAGCAAACCUUAACCCCCUAGAACUUGCACUUCUGAAUUCAUGUUAUUGCAGAGCCCUUCAAACUGAAUACUGCAUUACACUAGCUGAAGGAAGCAUUUCUUGGUAUCUCAAUUUCACAAAAUUCUAAUAUGGAUACUUAAGAUGGCAUUUGUUUGAAAUAAAUGUCUAAAUAAAAUGUUCCAACCAUCUUGAUACAAAUAUUUCAGAGUAUUUUUGUGAAAAACUCCAAGACUGGUAUUUUCUUUUUCCUGGUACUGAAACUUAAUUUUAAAGUUUAAGAAAUCCUCUUCCCCAAGAAAAAGCUUUCUGAUGAGUUAGUCCAUACUAAGGAUGGCUUUCAAAAGGACCAGGUUAUUACUGCUUAGUCUGUGUAAUUAUAAAAAUCAAUUUUUAUGAAAUACUAUUCAGUAAGCCAAUUAAAGAAGAGUUAUUUUCACAAGUUUAAUACUUGCUUCAGUUAUGUUUCUUUUCCAUAGGUGAUUGAGACUGGCCUGUAAUUAUGUGUCACUAGAUUACUCUGGCUGCUUUCUGACAAUGCUUAACAGAAAAUGAUACAUUACAACAGUUAUUCUUGUUACAAGUGUAAGCUAGAAAUGUUUUCUUCAUUGGUUACAUCAUUAUAGGAGACACAUUUUACAUCUGUAUUAUUGUACAGCACCAAAUUUUAGAGAAUUUUCCUAAUUGAUAUUUAUAUGUCUUUGUUAUCACACUGCUACAUGGCAAGAAUAUUUGAACACUUGGAAUAAAUAAGAGACGCAUUGAUUUAGAAAUC